rnacentral:rRNA from 1 species
UCUUAAUCAUUGUAACAAUGGUUCUUGAGAUAACGUAAGGGAUAAAAUUGAUAGUACCUUACUAUAAGUGUUGUCCAAAAAUACUGGUGCCAGAAGACUCGGUAACGCCAGAAACGCAAACGUUAGUCGUCCUAAUCAGGCGUAAAGGGUAAGUAGGCUGCUUUGAAAGUUGUUAAUUUAGAAAGCUCUUUAAAAAUUUAAAGUAAUUAAUAAUGAAUUAAAGCUAGAAUCAAAUAGGGGAUAAGCCAAAUAAUAUUUAGUGUAAGGCUAAUAUCUAUAGAUACUAAAUGGAAUACUAAGGUGAAAACUUUUAUCUACUAAUGAUUGACGCUGAGGAACGAAGGUGAGAAUAGAAAACAGGAUUAGAGACCCAGGUAUCUCUCACUGUCAACGAUGAAUGGUAGUUGUUAGUUAAAUUUUAACUAGUAACGAUGUUAACGCGUUAACCAUUCCGCCUUGCGAGUAC